rnacentral:rRNA from 1 species
AACGAACGCUGGCGGCAUGCCUAACACAUGCAAGUCGAACGAGACCUUCGGGUCUAGUGGCGCACGGGUGCGUAACGCGUGGGAACCUGCCCUUAGGUUCGGAAUAACUCCCCGAAAGGGGUGCUAAUACCGGAUAAUGUCUUCGGACCAAAGAUUUAUCGCCUUUGGAUGGGCCCGCGUUGGAUUAGCUAGUUGGUAGGGUAAAAGCCUACCAAGGAGACGAUCCAUAGCUGGUCUGGGAGGAUGAUCAGCCACACUGGGACUGAGACACGGCCCAGACUCCUACGGGAGGCAGCAGUGGGGAAUAUUGGACAAUGGGCGAAAGCCUGAUCCAGCAAUGCCGCGUGAGUGAUGAAGGCCUUAGGGUUGUAAAGCUCUUUUACCCGGGAUGAUAAUGACAGUACCGGGAGAAUAAGCUCCGGCUAACUCCGUG